GAUGAACGCUAGCGGCAGGCUUAAUACAUGCAAGUCGUGGGGCAGCAUGAAGUAGCAAUACUUUGAUGGCGACCGGCAAACGGGUGCGGAACACGUACACAACCUUCCUUUUAGUGGGGAAUAGCCCAGAGAAAUUUGGAUUAAUACCCCGUAACAUAGCGAUGUGGCAUCACAUUGCUAUUAUAGCUUCGGCGCUAGAUGAUGGGUGUGCGUAUGAUUAGAUAGUUGGCGAGGUAACGGCUCACCAAGUCUACGAUCAUUAGCUGAUGUGAGAGCAUGAUCAGCCACACGGGAACGGAGACACGGGCCCGACUCCUACGGGAGGCAGCAGUAAGGAAUAUUGGUCAAUGGACGCAAGUCUGAACCAGCCAUGCCGCGUGGAGGAUGAAGGUCCUCUGGAUUGUAAACUUCUUUUAUCUGGGAAGAAACCCAUAUUUCCUAGUGUGGUUGACGGUACCAGAUGAGUAAGCACCGGCUAACUCCGUGCCAGCAGCCGCCGUAACAC
rnacentral:rRNA from 1 species